rnacentral:ncRNA from 2 species
ACUGCAUAUGGUGGUCACGGUCUCUCGAAUCGCAAGAUCGAGAGCUAAGAGGGAAGCCGGUGCGAAACCGGCGCUGCCCCCGCAACUGUCAGCGGCGAGUACUUGUCCAGGAUAUCAGUCACUGAGGCCGCCAGGCUUUGGGAAGACGGGACGAGAGCGACGACCCGCGAGCCAGGAGACCUGCCGCGACAGCAGAAGCGUC